rnacentral:rRNA from 1 species
AUUGAACGCUGGCGGCAGGCCUAACACAUGCAAGUCGAACGAGUGGCGGACGGGUGAGUAAUGUCUGGGAAACUGCCUGAUGGAGGGGGAUAACUACUGGAAACGGUAGCUAAUACCGCAUACCAUCAGAUGUGCCCAGAUGGGAUUAGCUAGUUGGUGGGGUAACGGCUCACCAAGGCGACGAUCCCUAGCUGGUCUGAGAGGAUGACCAACCACACUGGAACGGAGACACGGUCCAGACUCCUACGGGAGGCAGCAGUGGGGAAUAUUGCACGAUGGGAGCAAGCAUGAUGCAGCCGUGCCGCGUGUAGGAAGAAGGCCUUCGGGUUGUAAAGUAAGUUCAGCGGGGAGGCGUUACCCGCAGAAGAAGAACAGGCUAACUACGUGCCAGCAGACGGGGUAAUUC